GGUUGUAUCGAUUCGAUAGGGAUACUCAUCAAAUUAAAUUGAAAACCGAGAAGGCUUCUUUUGCUCAUGGCGGGCCACAUAAAUUGCAUCUGCAACUAAAUGCUUCGGCAUCGGUGGAUUACAAAGGCGGGAAACUCUCAAAUCUUUUAAACUCGGAGUUUUCAUCACAUCGUCGUGCAACCCUUUUU
rnacentral:sRNA from 2 species